UUCGGGAUGAUGGCGAGCGGCGGACGGGUGAGUAAUGCGUAGAAAUCUGCCCUUUUGUGGAGGAUAACCUGGGGAAACUCAGGCUAAUACUGCAUAAUCUCUACGGAGCAAAGCGGGGGAUCUUCGGACCUCGCGCAGAAGGAUGAGUCUACGUCUGAUUAGCUAGUUGGUGGGGUAAUGGCCUACCAAGGCGACAAUCAGUAGCUGGUCUGAGAGGAUGAUCAGCCACACCGGGACUGAGACACGGCCCGGACUCCUACGGGAGGCAGCAGUGGGGAAUAUUGGACAAUGGGGGAAACCCUGAUCCAGCCAUGCCGCGUGUGUGAAGAAGGCCUUAGGGUUGUAAAGCACUUUAAGCAGGAAAGAAAAGCGCCGGGUUAAUAGCCCGAGCGUGUUGACGGUACCUGCAGAAUAAGCACCGGCUAACUCCGUGCCAGCAGCCGCGGUAAUACGGAGGGUGCGAGCGUUAAUCGGAAUUACUGGGCGUAAAGCGUGCGUAGGCGGUUGCGUGUGUCGGAUGUGAAAGCCCCGGGCUCAACCUGGGAAUUGCAUUCGAAACUGCGCGACUAGAAUAUGGUAGAGGAAGAUGGAAUUCCACGUGUAGCGGUGAAAUGCGUAGAUAUGUGGAGGAACACCAAUGGCGAAGGCAAUCUUCUGGGCCAAUAUUGACGCUGAGGCACGAAAGCGUGGGUAGCAAACAGGAUUAGAUACCCUGGUAGUCCACGCCGUAAACGAUGAGAACUAGACGUUGGUUGACAUAGUCGAUCAGUGUCGCAGCAAACGCGUUAA
rnacentral:rRNA from 1 species